AGGAAUUUUGUGAAUUAUUGUUAGGCUUAGGGCUUGUUUGGAUACCUCAUGUUAAAGUUUAACAAGUGUUAAAAUUUUAACACUUUCAAAUGGAGUGCUAAAGUUUAACACAUUGGGGUGUUUGGAUGGUGUGUUAAACUUUAACACCUUUGAUGAGAAAUGACUCUAUUGCCCCCUCAUUUAUGGCCGGCGGAGAGAGAGGGAGGAGAGAGAAGGGGGCAAUGGUGGGAAAAAGUGAAGAGGGGGACCACUUUUAACAAGUUUAACAACUUUUAACACCCCCUUGAGGUGUUUAUGAAAUUGGGGGUGUUAAACUUUAACACAUCCCUUUUAACACAUGUGUUUGGGAGGCAAUGUGAUAAAAAGGUAUUAAAAGUGGGGUGUUAAACUUUAACACUCCCUAUCCAAACAGGGCCUUAUUGUUGUCCUAAUCAUGUCACUCUUAGGGUUUUGUAAUUUAUUGUUAGUUUUAUUAUGUGGAAGCGACUUAUUUAGCAACAUAAUAAAUCCUAUCUCUUUUGAGAUAUACACCAUUCUAGCAACAUAAAUCAUGUUUCUUUUGUAAAGUUUGUCGAUUAUAUAUCCUUUGGUUUAUUUUGCCUUAUCAUGGUGUGAAUUAUGUCGCUAUUAUGGAGUCCAACCAUCAUAGCAAUGAAAUUCUCUCACUUUUGAGAACUGUUCUAGAUUACCAUUAAGAAAUUCUUU
rnacentral:lncRNA from 1 species